ensembl:snRNA U2 U2 spliceosomal RNA
AUCGCUUCUCGGCCUUUUGGCUAAGAUCAAGUGUAGUAAAACAGCCAUAGAGGGAGAUGGUCUGUGCUAGGAGUUUCAUCACUGAAUGGAAUAGGCAAUGUUUCUGUUUUCUUACAAACUCACUAACAUGGAGAAAUAUUGAUGCAUUAAACCUAAUAUAUAGCACGUAGGGUAGAAGGCACACUUU